rnacentral:rRNA from 1 species
GACGAACGCUGGCGGCGUGCUUAACACAUGCAAGUCGAACGGGCCUGUCUUCUUUUUUGGGGGUGGGUUGAGUGGCGAACGGGUGAGUAUCACGUGAGUAACCUGCCCUUCGGUCCUGGAUAACCGCUUGAAAGGGCGGCUAAUACGGGGUGGUCCGGUUGGUCCGCAUGGGCUGGUCGGGAUAGAUUCACUGUUUUUGGUGUUUCGGCGGGGGAUGGGCUCGCGGCCUAUCAGCUUGUUGGUGGGGUGAUGGCCUACCAAGGCGGUGACGGGUAGCCGGCCUGGGAGGGUGGGCGGCCACACUGGGACUGAGAUACGGCCCAGGCGCCUGCGGGAGGCAGCAGUGGGGGGUAUUGCACAAUGGGCGGAAGCCUGAUGCAGCGACGUCGCGUGAGGGAUGGAGGCCUUCGGGUUGUGAACCUCUGUUUCCGGUGGUGAAGGCCCUGUCCGUGUGGUGGGGUUGACGGUAGCCGGGGAUGAAGCGCCGGCUAACUACGUG